ensembl:lncRNA uncharacterized LOC115536981
GCGCUCCGUCAAACCGCUGCUUUCAGUGUAUGUCUUUCUUUAUAGGUCAAUGUGCGUCGAUAGCGUGGUAAAAUUGUAAAAAUUGACAGUGAAUGUCCAGGACCCGCAUAUACGUUUAAUUUCGUUAAACACAGGGGUUCAAAUCACUUUUCCAUCCGGUGACCUGUGUGGAGGUGCCUUUUACCCAGGACAGCAACUAUUUUGUGGACAGCCUAGUUUGAAAAAACAACUACAAACAACGGAUUCUGAAUUACGAGGAAAACCACUCGACAGAACAGAACAGAUUUUCCACAUCGCAGGUAAAACAAACCCAAACCCUCUUCUUUUUCUAACGCAUCCAAAAGUGUUUAAUUUCCU